UGCUCGCGGUUGGAUCAGCUUUUAACUUGCUGGUCUUAAAAUAUCUUGACGACCUUCAUCCUCGUUGAAAAAACAAAAGCGAAAAUAUGAUCUCGAAAGUGGCAGUCAUCGCGUGCGUCUUGGUUGUGCUGGCGUCGAUGAGUUCGGCGCAGUUUUACGCUGGCAAAAGGCAAUGGUUUGACACGUUCGGGCCCCAGACCGACCAACCACCAGCCACCUCAACCUCAACCACAACCACAAACACCUCAAACAACAACGGUCUCCGACUUGGAGUCCCGUUCCUCACGCCCGUCGAUUCCAUCAGCUUCAAGAAGUACAACAAUGUGCCCAUCGAGGGACCCGGCAUGCCGUGCAUCGGAUGCGUUUACAGGCUCACCAGCAACGGCUUUGUCAUGGUCAGGCCUUGAAGAGUGCAGAGAAGAGGAAAUUUCUGAACUGAUUUUGAUAAAAAUGGAUAUUUGACAUUCUUGUUUAUUUUUGCUUGUCAAAUACAAUAAUAAAAAGAUUUUUAAAUUUAAAACGUA